rnacentral:tRNA from 2 species
GGCGGACGUAGCCAAGUGGAUUAAGG